AUUGAACGCUGGCGGCGUGCUUAACACAUGCAAGUCGAGCGGUAACAGGCGUAGCAAUACGUGCUGACGAGCGGCGAACGGGUGCGUAAUACAUGGGAAUCUGCCCUUUGGUGGGGAAUAACCCGGCGAAAGCCGGGCUAAUGCCGCAUAAGAUCUUCGGAUGAAAGCGGGGGAUCGUAAGACCUCGCGCCGAUGGAUGAGCCCAUGUCGGAUUAGCUAGUUGGUGAGGUAACGGCUCACCAAGGCGACGAUCCGUAGCUGGUCUGAGAGGACGGCCAGCCACACUGGGACUGAGACACGGCCCAGACUCCUACGGGAGGCAGCAGUGGGGAAUAUUGGACAAUGGGCGAAAGCCUGAUCCAGCGACGCCGCGUGUGUGAAGAAGGCCUGCGGGUUGUAAAGCACUUUCGAUGGGAACGAAAUGUGCCGGGUUAACACCCCGGCAAGCUGACGUUACUCAAUGAAGAAGCACCGGCUAACUCUGUGCCAGCAGCCGCAGUAACAC
rnacentral:rRNA from 1 species